GCGACCCCAGGUCAGGCGGGAU
rnacentral:ncRNA from 7 species